GACGAACCGUCCUAACGUUGUUCGGAAUCACUGGGCUUAAAGGGCGCGUAGGCGGGUUUUCAAGUCUGCGGUGAAAUCUUUCGGCUUAACCGGAAAACGGCCGUGGAUACUGGAGAUCUCGAGGGGUGUAGGGGCAUGCGGAACUCAGGGUGGAGCGGUGAAAUGCGUAGAUAUCCUGAGGAACGCCGGUGGCGAAAGCGGCGUGCUGGACACCUUCUGACGCUGAGGCGCGAAAGCCAGGGGAGCGAACGGG
rnacentral:rRNA from 1 species